rnacentral:rRNA from 1 species
AUUGAACGCUGGCGGCAGGCCUAACACAUGCAAGUCGAGCGGAUGAAGGGAGCUUGCUCCUGGAUUCAGCGGCGGACGGGUGAGUAAUGCCUAGGAAUCUGCCUGGUAGUGGGGGAUAACGUCCGGAAACGGGCGCUAAUACCGCAUACGUCCUGCGGGAGCAAGUGGGGGAUCUUCGGACCUCACGCUAUCAGAUGAGCCUAGGUCGGAUUAGCUAGUUGGUGGGGUAAAGGCCUACUAAGGCGACGAUCCGUAACUGGUCUGAGAGGAUGGUCAGUCACACUAGAACUGAGACACGGUCCAGAGGACUACGGGAGGCAGCAGUGGGGAAUAUUGGACAAUGGGCGAAAGCCUGAUCCAGCCAUGCCGCGUGUGUGAAGAAGGUCUUCGGAUUGGAAAGCACUUUAAGUUGGGAGGAAGGGCAGUAAGUUAAGACCUUGCUGUUUUGACGUUACCAACAGAAUAAGCACCGGCUAACUUCGUG